rnacentral:rRNA from 1 species
ACUCCUACGGGAGGCAGCAGUGGGGAAUAUUGCACAAUGGGGGAAACCCUGAUGCAGCCAUGCCGCGUGUGUGAAGAAGGCCUUCGGGUUGUAAAGCACUUUCAGUAGGGAGGAAGGUAGUGUAGUUAACACCUGCACUAUUUGACGUUACCUACAGAAGAAGCACCGGCUAACUCCGUGCCAGCAGCCGCGGUAAUACGGAGGGUGCGAGCGUUAAUCGGAAUUACUGGGCGUAAAGCGCAUGCAGGCGGCCUGUUAAGUCAGAUGUGAAAGCCCGGGGCUUAACCUCGGAAUUGCAUUUGAAACUGGCAGGCUAGAGUCUUGUAGAGGGGGGUAGAAUUUCAGGUGUAGCGGUGAAAUGCGUAGAGAUCUGAAGGAAUACCAGCGGCGAAGGCGGCCCCCUGGACAAAGACUGACGCUCAGAUGCGAAAGCGUGGGGAGCAAACAGGAUUAGAUACCCUGGUAGGAUAGCG